rnacentral:rRNA from 1 species
UACGUAGGGUGCAAGCGUUGUCCGGAAUUAUUGGGCGUAAAGAGCUUGUAGGCGGUUUGUCGCGUCUGCUGUGAAAUUUCGGGGCUCAACCCCGAACUUGCAGUGGGUACGGGCAGACUAGAGUGUGGUAGGGGAGACUGGAAUUCCUGGUGUAGCGGUGAAAUGCGCAGAUAUCAGGAGGAACACCGAUGGCGAAGGCAGGUCUCUGGGCCAUAACUGACGCUGAGGAGCGAAAAGCGUGGGGAGCGAACAGG